UAAUAGCUAAGAACAGGAACUGGUUUCUUGAGAUGGAAUCUACUCCUGGUGAAGAUGCUAUGAA
rnacentral:pre_miRNA from 1 species